GGUGGGUGUUAAAAGCUAUGCUUACAACAAAUCAAAACAGAAUCAGAGGACUCCAGAAAGCGGUAUGAGGUUAGCAGCAGAGCGGCCCCUGACACUGCCUUUCUUCCGUUCUUGCUCCGCCCCUUCCAGCGCAGCCCACGCCCCCAGGUAAGCCCCACCCAGGCCCCGCCCCCGAUGUUAGCGCAGACCACGCCCCCUGGCGCUGGGCGAGCGGGGUUGGAGGCUCCCACCUGCGCUAAGUGUUCUGUGCCGGGGAGGAGAUGAGGGGGCGCUCGACGGGUGGAAGGGGGCCAGUUCGGAAACUGGCAGGUGAGACUGGGGAAACUAGUCUGAGACAAGUCCCUCCUCCCAUGCCUCCUCAUCCGCCCCCUUGCUGAGGGCUUUGGCUUUUGCAUAAUGGUUCCUGAGCAGAUGACGGUGGCCUUCCCGGAGGGCAGUCCCCAGCAACUAUCUUCCCCGCCUGCCUGCCUGCCUGCCUGCCUGCCUGCCUGCCUGCCUGUCUUCCCGGGACGAUCUGGCCACACACAUGAUGCCGGCUGUGAACUGCAAUGGCUGGGUUGGGAGAUCACCCACGUUGGUAGCGUCUGGGCCCCGAUCCUUCUGCUCCAAGGACAAGUCCGCUUUCCCUGAGCUUGAGAACCUGGAGACCCACCGAGCGUGAGCGUGGGGCCUCAUCUGCAGGGCUGUUAGAACAGCAGCUGCUUUCAGACAACUCCAGUCUAAUUGAAAAACCCGACCUAGGGGCCUCGCAUGCUCCCCACCCACUGGUGUGUUUUUGGGAGCACAUGGCCACCUCCUGCUUCCUCCGUUCCCCUUCCUAAUGAACUUCUAUUUUCUGUUACACCCUGUUACUCUCAUUCAGACAAUAAAGUGGACCAAUAUGAACUAAUCCUUGUUUUUUGUUUCCCUUAAAACUAACAAAUCUUCAAGGUACCUCUGUUGCUAAUGUCUUGCUGCUGCUGUGUGGUCAGUUGCUUAUAGAGCUGCUGAAAGGCAAGGGUUCUAGAUCUUUAAAGAUCCUUGGUAAGUGGGAAAAGGGACACUCAAGCAGGUUAAAUAACUUUCCCCUGUGUAUUAGUCAUGAGGCUUCCCUUGCAAAGUAACAAAAU
rnacentral:lncRNA from 1 species